UACGGAGGGAGCUAGCGUUGUUCGGAAUUACUGGGCGUAAAGCGCGCGUAGGCGGCUUUGUAAGUUAGAGGUGAAAGCCCGGAGCUCAACUCCGGAACUGCCUUUAAAACUGCAUCGCUUGAAUCCAGGAGAGGUGAGUGGAAUUCCGAGUGUAGAGGUGAAAUUCGUAGAUAUUCGGAAGAACACCAGUGGCGAAGGCGGCUCACUGGACUGGUAUUGACGGCUGAG
rnacentral:rRNA from 1 species